rfam:Mumia flava strain MTSC 201 Contig14, whole genome shotgun sequence.
GGGGCUGAUCGGUUUCGACUUCGGUCGUACGAAUCAGGAGAAGCGAGCCGAGAAUCCAAGGUCAUCUCGUGAACGUUCCUUGGAAAACAACAAGUGCCGAUUCCAAGCGCACUGACUUCGCUCUCGCCGCCUGAGGCGAGUACCGCGAAGGGUCGGCCUGGGAGCGCCUCCGUCCCAGUCACCGGCCUCAGCUAGGAGGCUUGCUCUGUUAGUCCGGUCGCGGGACUGACAGGGGACAUUCACAGCGACUGAGCCUGUCGACGACGUGUUCGUCCGAGCGUCGGGGCUGAGAACACGACAUGACGAACUGCGCUCGGAGAAGUCCUGGUCCUGCGCUGGAGGACGCGGGUUCGAUUCCCGCCAGCUCCACCA